CCUUUUGUAUAAUGGGUCAGCGACUUAUAUUCUGUAGCAAGGUUAACCGCAUAGGGGAGCCGGAGGGAAACCGAGUCUUAAUUGGGCGUUAAGUUGCAGGGUAUAGACCCGAAACCCGGUGAUCUAGCCAUGGGCAGGUUGAAGGUUGGGUAACACUAACUGGAGGACCGAACCGACUAAUGUUGAAAAAUUAGCGGAUGACCUGUGGCUGGGGGUGAAAGGCCAAUCAAACCGGGAGAUAGCUGGUUCUCCCCGAAAGCUAUUUAGGUAGCGCCUCGUGAAUUCAUCUCCGGGGGUAGAGCACUGUUUCGGCUAGGGGGCCAUCCCGGCUUACCAACCCGAUGCAAACUGCGAAUACCGGAGAAUGUUAUCACGGGAGACACACGGCGGGUGCUAACGUCCGUCGUGAAGAGGGAAACAACCCAGACCGCCAGCUAAGGUCCCAAAGUCAUGGUUAAGUGGGAAACGAUGUGGGAAGGCCCAGACAGCCAGGAUGUUGGCUUAGAAGCAGCCAUCAUUUAAAGAAAGCGUAAUAGCUCACUGGUCGAGUCGGCCUGCGCGGAAGAUGUAACGGGGCUAAACCAUG
rnacentral:rRNA from 1 species